rnacentral:lncRNA from 1 species
CUGUCACCUGCAUGAAAAAAAAUGUUGCACUGCUGAAUUUGAGAAUAGUGAAAAUAACAACAGUUGAGACAGUGAAACAGCAGAUUAUAAACAUCUGUCCAGUCUACCGAUUACGCUAAGAUUUCUAUUUAUACCUUAUUACUUUUUGUAUUUUCCUGUAAUAGUGUUUGAUCCACAAAUAUUUAAAAGCAUUCCAAAUAUCCCGCAUGUAUGCUACUACAUUAAAACAUACUUAAAACUGCAACUAUUAUAAACAUGAAAUGGUCAUUUUAUAACAGGGAUAGAUAUGGCAGCAUAAGCAGUCUUUUAAAGUAGCCCUGGUUGUGUAUGACACAGACAUGAAUACCGUUAG